AUUGAACGCUGGCGGCAGGCCUAACACAUGCAAGUCGAGCGGUAACACAGAGGAGCUUGCUCCUUGGGUGACGAGCGGCGGACGGGUGAGUAAUGCCUGGGGAUCUGCCCGAUAGAGGGGGAUAACUACGGGAAACUGUAGCUAAUACCGCAUAAUGUCUACGGACCAAAGUGGGGGCUCUUCGGACCUCAUGCUAUCGGAUGAACCCAGGUGGGAUUAGCUAGUUGGUGAGGUAAUGGCUCACCAAGGCGACGAUCUCUAACUGGUUUGAGAGAAUGACCAGUCACACUGGAACUGAGACACGGUCCAGACUCCUACGGGAGGCAGCAGUGGGGAAUAUUGCACAAUGGGCGCAAGCCUGAUGCAGCCAUGCCGCGUGUGUGAAGAAGGCCUUCGGGUUGUAAAGCACUUUCAGCGGGGAGGAAGGGUCACUAGUUAAUACCUAGUGGCAUUGACGUUACUCGCAGAAGAAGCACCGGCUAACUCCGUGCCAGCAGCCGCGGUAAUACGGAGGGUGCAAGCGUUAAUCGGAAUUACUGGGCGUAAAGCGCACGCAGGCGGUUUGUUAAGUCANAUGUGAAAUCCCCGAGCUCAACUUGGGAACUGCAUUUGAAACUGGCAAGCUAGAGUCUUGUAGAGGGGGGUAGAAUUCCAGGUGUAGCGGUGAAAUGCNUAGAGAUCUGGAGGAAUAC
rnacentral:rRNA from 1 species